rnacentral:rRNA from 1 species
UACGGAGGGGGCUAGCGUUGUUCGGAAUUACUGGGCGUAAAGCGCACGUAGGCGGCUUUGUAAGUUAGAGGUGAAAGCCCGGGGCUCAACUCCGGAAUUGCCUUUAAGACUGCAUCGCUAGAAUUGUGGAGAGGUAAGUGGAAUUCCGAGUGUAGAGGUGAAAUGCGUAGAUAUCUGGAGGAACACCGGUGGCGAAGGCGGCAUCCUGGACCAACACUGACACUGAGGAGCGAAAGCCAGGGGAGCAAACGGG